rnacentral:lncRNA from 10 species
GGAAGGAAAAGGGUUGGUUGGGUUUUAUCCCAUGUUUUGAAAGUAGGUUAUUGGAAUUUAUGAGCUGUUUCCAUUGUGAUGUCCAAUUGAGAGGUGAUUUGGAUAUAAUGGUGAAUGAGAAGAGUCCCCUGAAUAGAAGACUUCAGUUUCAGUCCUAAAUGAAAACGGAAGGAGAAGCGAUUUAAAAAAAGAAGCAUUCCAAGAAUCAAGCACUACAAAGUGAUGAGCGUAGGACAAAACUACACUAUUGAACUGGAAAAACCUGUAACACUCCCAAACCUUUUCAGUGUCAUUGAUUAUUUUGUGAAGGAGACUCGAGGAAAUUUAAGACCAUUUAUAUGUUCAACUGAUGAAAACACUGGUCAAGAACCCAGUAUGGAAGGGAGAAGUGAAAAGUUGAAGAAAAAUCCACACAUUGCAUGAAAUACAAUGUGAAAGCUCCUUUGUAUAUCUUGGUAAUUUAUAUUUUCAAAACGAAGUUCUUACUUUUAAAGAGAAUUACCUAUAUUCUCCUGAUACUGAUUACCAAGUCAUUCACCUGAACACCAGAAUUAGAAUUAAACAUUGUACCAUACAAUUUCAUUAUCUUAUCAGAAUGAAACCAAUUCACAGGGAAACUAGAGACUACGGCUGUGGUGGUAACCUGCAGAUAUACACAUUCCCAUGCACUGACAUAAGUUGAAAACACAUAGUACUUUCUAGAUGGAAUUUUUUUCUUUAGGCCUCAAUGAAAUACAUUUCCCCUAUAUAAUUCCAACAGCAGUUUCUCUAGUUCUAAAUUUUACCAAUUCCCAAAAAACCUAAGUUUUGCUGAAAUCUGAUUUGACCAAUUUAUCAAAUAUGUCAUUUUAAUUACCUAGCUGGAAGUUAGAGACAUGAAAUGUACUAGAGGAGCCCUUUUCCAAUGGAAAUAUUAUAUACCACAUUUUUUGUUAAUGGAAAUAAAUGUCUUCAUUCCCAUGUU